AAAAGGGAGGAAUGUGACUUGGAUGAUCAACAACACAAGUUAUCAGCUGAUGGUUGUUGAGCGGCGAGUUUAAAAGUGAUUUUAGUGAUGGUGGGAAGAUGGCUUCAUAACGGCAGGUUUCCGUCGUCACGCUAACUGGAAUGUUACUGAGGUUUGCCACGAAACAGUGAGAGUUUGGGUCGUUUACCUUGUGUCAAGUUUUUGAGAGUACAAGUCGAGUAUUAGUGGGAUUAUGAACAAAGACUGUGGGUGCGCUCCAAAACACCCUCACCAGUGUUGUGCCAAAAAAGGGCUGUAUGCCAGACACUCAUUGCGGUCCGCUGGAGUACGCGCACCCUGCAAACAUGCAUCGGCCAGUUUAUUCACGCGCAUAACUGCUUCGAGCUGUGAUGAAAUGCAAAAUGGAAGGGAUCAAGGAGCCUCCUCCUCCUCCUGUGUGUUUAACCUGAUGAAAAUCAACAUAGGCAGUGGUAUUCUUUGUCUAGCUUAUGCUAUGGCUAACACAGGUUUUUGACAUUACUUCAUAUGAAGACCAUGGAACAUGUCAUCCUGUUUGUUUGUCUUGAAGUCAGAGAUUCCUGCAGCCAUAAACAGCUUCCUGAGCCCAGACAACACAGGAUUAUAACUCUGGCCCUCAGAGAAGUCAGAUCUGACACUUCUUCACCACAACAGCUCACAAACUGGAAAUACUCGAGCAGAAUGCAACAUAUGAAUAAUGAGGCAGAAGAUCUCUGACCAAACCACAGUGCACUACUAAUACUUUGUAAGAGAUUAGGAGGAAACUUGUGCUUCAUGUUAUAUAGCACAAAGGAUGCCCAGAGGAAAUGUAUUUAUUACAGAGAGCCAUUCAUCACCCAUCAGCAGCAGCCUGCGGUCUACAUAGAUGAGCCUGCAGCUCCUCUCCCUCACAGAGAAGUCCUCAGCCAAGAAUGUAACUUCUAUCACUUUAUUACUGGCCACACCAGUUUAAGCAGGGGUUGUAGCUGCUCUCAGGCCAAUCCGUCAACAUCUGAAUCUUCCACACACAGCUGCUUUGUAUUAGUACUCUCCUUUCACCCUAAAUUUCUCACACAUGUUCCCCGGAAUCAGACUGAUACAAGGGGAUAUCAGUUUUGCCAUUCUAAUUACAGCUCACUGCUGAAGGAAACAAAACAUUUCUGUUAAUGAGUGGCUUUUGGAUGUUAACAGGCAUGCACACAGUUCCAUCAAAGUCUAAAUACACAAGUUGUUUUGUAUUAAAGUGCGUUUCUUUUUUUCUGGCUCAUUUCUCAUAAGGUGGUAGAGUGAAAACAGUUGUGCUCAGUCUGUUAGUCUUCAUCUAGGCUGGUGGAGUGUGUGUCCUGCUUAGGUUUCUCCAGUCAUGUUUAAGUGCUGUAACAAGGCUGGAAACAUGGACAGCUGUGGAUCUGGACUUGAGCUGCACUGGUCAGAUUUAUGUUGAUCUUUAACACUAUGUGGAUAUUGACUCAUUGGCAGUCAUACUCCAGCCUUAACUGAGAACUAUCCUGCAUCUUGUUAUAGCGUGAAAUGUUCCACAUUUCAUGGGUCUUCUAGGUAUCCUGCGCCUUUACAGUAAGCCUCGAGCCUCCUGAGAAUGCAUCCUAAUUGUGGUGGAGGGUUUUUUUGUAUCCCUGUGUCUGCAUUAAAAGCGAAGAGGGCUUUAGUUUAACUGUGGUAGAGUGUGUUAGCUAAACCUGGGUUAGAAGAGAGAGGUUGGGGUCAGAGCAGAGGUCCCCCCUGACAUGCAGUUACUGGGCAGAGACAGUGUAGACGCACAGACAAAUUUGUCAGCGCCUAUGGUAACGCCACAGCUGUGAAACUGCCAAAGGGGGUCGGUGAGUGUUGAUGUGGACAGAGCAGGUGCUGUUGACUGUGGGAGCCCCAUAAAAAGUGAUGGAGCCAGUCACUCAUGACCCCACACUGCGAUCCAACAUACAGCAGCGCCAGGCAGCACCCGACCCCGACCCCAGCGGAGCCGGCAUGCCUUCCACAUGUGUCACCUCGAACGCAGCCCCUCCUGCUUCUCUAGCUCCCGAAUCCUGAAUAAGCCACCAAAGCUAUUCCUAAGCAAAGGAAAAUAUUAUUCCCUCUCUCCAAAAACCCAGCAAGUGAAAUGCGGUCUCAUCUGAGUAACAUGUUUGCAUGUGAAUUACAUAACUGUUAUAGUUUGCAAGAGUCAACACUCUUAAUUUGUACCACAUGAUGAAUGUGCUGCUCUGCAUUUUAACACCAAAUGGAGACAAAUUUGCAGAGCCAUUUCAUUAAGGCAGAUUUGUCUUUGCUGUCCUUGACAUUUCAGGACAAGGGAGAGUGCGUCCUGUUCUUGUAUUCCAAAAAUGCCUUGUAUGAAGAUGGCCCGUUGCUUCUCAUCCUAGUGAGACUGUGUUGCUCUACCUUUGUCAGUAUUGUCUAAAAUUGGAGUUUGAACUUUUGUUUCUUACUAGAUGUCCUACACGCCCUUACAGGCUUCCUGGUUUACACCAGUAGCCUCGCUUGGUUCUACAGCCUGAACCUCAUAGUUGCGGUGAGACAAUAUUUCCUUCCAACAUGAGGUUUUUCAACUCUUCUGUCAUCUGUGUCGAGAAAUAACUCGUCCCCUGCCCAGUGCUUCACAACAUUACUAUGCUUUCAGGUGCUUUUCAGGUAACGGCAAGCUUAUUUACAAACUUAAAUAAGAUACCAUGAAUAUGAGGUCUGAACUAUAGACUGGACAGUCAUGGCCACAGGAGGACUGGAACAUUAGGAGGAAAAACCCAGGAGAUUACUGAUUGGGUUUGCUCUGGCUGAUGAAGACCAGGGAAGGCUGCAGAGUGCUGUGUAUGGUGCCAGUCCUGAGGGGAAGGAAGUUCCGGUGACCUUGCUUGAGCCUGGAAAUUACCUCUGACCUUUUAGAAUUCUAGAGACCAUACUAUAACUUCAGAUCUGGUAUGAGUUAUCUUAGAUGGUUGUUUUCCUUUAAAGCCAGGCAACAAGAGUUUAGCUGCAUGUUUCUCCCAUUUACAGCAGAACUGAAGAAGUCCUCUUAGAAACGGCAUGCUCACUCUUCUCCCCUUGUUUCUACAGACAUCAGAUUCCUCUGACUGUAUGUACACCUUCUCUUUGGCAUCUCUAGCGAGGUUCAGUACUGUAUGUUUAUGAAACCAAUGUUUUGUCAACAUUGCACAUGCAGAACCUGUGAGAAGUGGUUGAAAGUCGACCUGCUUCAGUUUUUUGACUCUAGUGAGAAGUCACAUUUUACCUACGGACAGGCUGUUUAUGGCAACUCAGCUACCAUUCUCAUGUAUGUUGUGUGUAAAGGCCACAUGUACAUAUGGCAUGCAGAAGAACAAGUGGGUCAAACAGAAAUGGAUGUUGUUACAUGUUCCUUCUUAAAAAUUACACUUGGUAUUUAGAGAUGCAUAUUUAAAUUCACUAAGGAAAAGUCACGCUGCAAUCCAGAUGACCUACUACCACACCUUGACCUACCCGCCCCCUCACUCCUAUAUAACAUUGUAAAAUGAUAAUUUGCAAAUGGUGGCUGUGCUCAACCAGACAUAAGGACAGUUUCUUCCCCUAGGCUGUCACUCUGAUUAACAUUUAACCAAUAUCUGUAUAACAGAACGACAACCCUCAGUGCAGCAUUGUGUAAAUAUGCUUUUGUAUAUAUCUGAAACACCGCAUCUAAAUUGUGUAUAUAAAUUUCUGUAUUUAUAAGUAUAAGCCUCUGUAGGCAGAGGCAACUAGCUUAGCUUUAACACAGUUAUUUCCUUUUAGCUGAGUAACGCUCUCAGCGUUCUGCACAGGGGACGGGCUUAUCCUUGUGUAUCUGGGUUUGACGUCACACCUAGCACAACAAUGCUCACUCUUGAGGCAGGAGAUUCAAAAUGUUAAUUAACUUAAAAACAGCAGAGAUAAUGGUUACUAAUUUGACAGCAGAGGAGGAUUGUCACAUCACCCUAAAACAUUCCAAAGCCAAUUUUGUUUUUGUCUUCCAUCAUGCCAACUCUUUAAGUCUUUAAUAGUUAUUUCCGGUCCCACCUCACUUCCUUUCUUUCAAUUAUCAGAAACUUGGCAUGAGUCAUUACCACAGUACUGUAGGAGUGUGUUUGGUUUGAGUGAGCUACGCAUAUCUGUGUGUGUGUUUGCUCUAGGCCCAUAAGGCUGUGGUCUUACUGCUGUGUGGAGGACUUCCCUUCUCCUGGCUAAUCCACAUCAUUGCAACUUUAACCAUUCUGGACAUGAUGCUGAUGCUGGCCAUCGAUGUACAUGAUAUCUGACAUGUAUCUGGAGUAUUAGGCAUGUGACAUUUUUUUGAAAUAUGGAGAAAAUGUGCUUGUUUUGCUAGAUAUUGUGGUCUUUAUGAAUCACAUAAUUAGUUUAUCCUAUACACAAAGAGUUUUGCUUAAUUGUGACCUUUUAGAUAUUCUGAUCUGUUCCUGACUAUAGCAGACUAAAAGAGCAGCCAAGAUGUCAGUAUUCCACAGUUAUUGAUCAUGUUGUCUAAAUUCACAGUAUCUGCUCAUACAUAAUUAAUGGUGCAGUCCUGCUCAGACAGUUUAUGAAGCUGCUAUUAUCAGACAGGCAGCAUACUGUCUGUGCAAUUCAAGCACAUUUUCUGUUUCUUUUGCAGGAUCAACAACCUCCAACUGUCUCCUUUUUAUUUUACCUGACAUCUUUUGUCUUUUAACUUCAGCAGCCAACCUCCCAGAUCCUUUGACUGGGACAUUAUAUAUUUUUACAUAAUGUAAUGACCUAUUUACAUUUCCUGAUUUUACUCUUGUUAUUGUUUUUUUUUCAAGCUUCUUGUUUUUGUCCUUUAAUUCUGUGCAGUAAUUUAGUUUUAUAUUAGAAUUACCACUUCACGGUUGUAUGCCUCUGCCAGCCAGUCAAAUUCACUGAAUGGGACAGACAGGGAGUCAGUGUGACCUUGACUAUUGAUCACCAAGAUCCAAUGAGCUCAUCCACAAGUCCAACUAGACCUUUGUGGCAAAUUUGGAGAAAAUCUUCAAGGUGAUUCAGAGAUAUUGCAUUUACAAUAAUGGGAUGGAUGGACAACCUGAAACCAUAAUGCCUCCACCCAUGGUCAUCACCGGUGCAGAGGGAUAAAACUGAACAUUCAGUUAUUGUUUGGACCAUUUAAUUGCAAUAUACGGUAUGCAGGCAUAAUAUAAAAUGUUAGUCUUGAAAUGACUGGCAUUUAAUUAAAGGAAAGCUGUUCAUGUACUGACAUGUUAGUUUGCUCAUUCAAACCCUAAACUGUCUUUAUCAGUGUUGUGGAAAGCUCCUCAUUCUGACAUGUUACAUUAAUGGCUGUGUCUUUGAUUGGCAGGCGCAGUACUGACACUGAGACCUGUUCCUCAGUGUUGUGCUGUAGCUAAUGAAAACCACAUGCCUGGUACAUUUCUAAUCAUUAUGCUGUUUAGAUUGUCUUCAUACUGCCUGCCUCUGGAACCUAUGGCCAUCCGACUGCUGCU